AUGGAGUUCUUGAUGCAGCAGAACUCUGCUAGAGGUCAACGAGAACAACAUCCCCACGAGUCCUCUUCAGUACCCUGUGAGGAUGCCUCCGGCCGUUGCGUUGCCGACGCACAGAUUUGUGCUGCUGAGGCUGCUCCAGUGGCAGGCAGUGGAGACAAGCGUCAGGGUUCAGAGAACUCCAUAGAGCAUGUUGACCCGAAAACUCCUGGCUGGAUAAAAGGAUUAAGAACUUUUCUGUGGAUCCCCUGCCUGCAUGAAUUUCGAGACACAAGCUCGGGGUUGGUGCUUCAUGAAAUGUUCAGAUAUAAAACGCCGGACAAAGUUGCCAAGUCCUUCUGUGCGACCUUGAGAUUCAAAUUUUGA
rnacentral:rRNA from 1 species